GGUUAAGCGACUAAGCGUACACGGUGGAUGCCCUGGCAGUCAGAGGCGAUGAAGGACGUGCUAAUCUGCGAUAAGCGCCGGUAAGGUGAUAUGAACCGUUAUAACCGGCGAUUUCCGAAUGGGGAAACCCAGUGUGACUCGUCACACUAUCAUUAACUGAAUCCAUAGGUUAAUGAGGCGAACCGGGGGAACUGAAACAUCUAAGUACCCCGAGGAAAAGAAAUCAACCGAGAUUCCCCCAGUAGCGGCGAGCGAACGGGGAGGAGCCCAGAGCCUGAAUCAGCAUGUGUGUUAGUGGAAGCGUCUGGAAAGGCGCGCGAUACAGGGUGACAGCCCCGUACACAAAAGCGCAUGUGCUGUGAGCUCGAUGAGUAGGGCGGGACACGUGGUAUCCUGUCUGAAUAUGGGGGGACCAUCCUCCAAGGCUAAAUACUCCUGACUGACCGAUAGUGAACCAGUACCGUGAGGGAAAGGCGAAAAGAACCCCGGCGAGGGGAGUGAAAAAGAACCUGAAACCGUGUACGUACAAGCAGUGGGAGCACCCUUUGGGGUGUGACUGCGUACCUUUUGUAUAAUGGGUCAGCGACUUAUAUUCUGUAGCAAGGUUAACCGAAUAGGGGAGCCGGAGGGAAACCGAGUCUUAAUUGGGCGUUAAGUUGCAGGGUAUAGACCCGAAACCCGGUGAUCUAGCCAUGGGCAGGUUGAAGGUUGGGUAACACUAACUGGAGGACCGAACCGACUAAUGUUGAAAAAUUAGCGGAUGACCUGUGGCUGGGGGUGAAAGGCCAAUCAAACCGGGAGAUAGCUGGUUCUCCCCGAAAGCUAUUUAGGUAGCGCCUCGUGAAUUCAUCUCCGGGGGUAGAGCACUGUUUCGGCUAGGGGGCCAUCCCGGCUUACCAACCCGAUGCAAACUGCGAAUACCGGAGAAUGUUAUCACGGGAGACAGACGGCGGGUGCUAACGUCCGUCGUGAAGAGGGAAACAACCCAGACCGCCAGCUAAGGUCCCAAAGUCAUGGUUAAGUGGGAAACGAUGUGGGAAGGCCCAGACAGCCAGGAUGUUGGCUUAGAAGCAGCCAUCAUUUAAAGAAAGCGUAAUAGCUCACUGGUCGAGUCGGCCUGCGCGGAAGAUGUAACGGGGCUAAACCAUGCACCGAAGCUGCGGCAGCGACGCUGAUGCGUUGUUGGGUAGGGGAGCGUUCUGUAAGCCUGUGAAGGUGUGUCGUGAGGC
rnacentral:rRNA from 1 species